UAACAAGGAUUCCCCUAGUAACUGCGAGUGAAGCGGGAAAAGCUCAAAUUUAAAAUCUGGCGGUCUUUGGCCGUCCGAGUUGUAGUCUGGAGAAGUGCUUUCCGCGCUGGACCGUGUAUAAUUCUCUUGGAACAGAGCGUCGUAGAGGGUGAGAAUCCCGUCUUUGACACGGACUACCAGUGCUUUGUGAUGCGCUCUCAAAGAGUCGAGUUGUUUGGGAAUGCAGCUCAAAAUGGGUGGUAAAUUCCAUCUAAAGCUAAAUAUUGGCGAGAGACCGAUAGCGAACAAGUACCGUGAGGGAAAGAUGAAAAGCACUUUGGAAAGAGAGUUAAACAGUACGUGAAAUUGCUGAAAGGGAAACACUUGAAGUCAGUCGCGUUGGCCGGAACUCAGCCUUGCUUUCGCUUGGUGCACUUUCCGGUUGACGGGCCAGCAUCGAUUUCGACCGGCGGAAAAGGGUUGGAGAAAUGUGGCACCCUCGGGUGUGUUAUAGUCUCUAGUCGCAUACGUCGGUGGGGAUCGAGGAUCGCAGCGCGCCGCAAGGCAGGGGUUCGCCCACUUUCGCGCUUAGGAUGCUGGCAUAAUGGCUUUAAAUGACCCGUCUUGAAACACGGACCAAGGAGUCUAACAUGCCUGCGAGUGUUUGGGUGGAAAACCCGAGCGCGUAAUGAAAGUGAAAGUUGAGACCUCUGUCGUGGAGGGCAUCGACGCCCGGACCUGACGUUCUCUGACGGAUCCGCGGUAGAGCAUGUAUGUUGGGACCCGAAAGAUGGUGAACUAUGCCUGAAUAGGGUGAAGCCAGAGGAAACUCUGGUGGAGGCUCGUAGCGAUUCUGACGUGCAAAUCGAUCGUCAAAUUUGGG
rnacentral:rRNA from 1 species